rnacentral:lncRNA from 1 species
UCUAGAGCUGUAGCUCGUGAUGUAGUAUUACGUUGCCAGAAUUGUGUUCAAUUUCACCACCCUCCUCAGAUGGGAAUUAACCCUCGUGGCCUGAUUCCAUUAAAGCCCUGGCAGAUGGAUGUCACACACAUAUCUCAAUUUGGAAAUUUAAAAUAUGCACAUGUUUCUGUUGACACAUGCUCUGGCAUUAUACAUGCCACUCUAAUGACUGGUGAAAAGGCUCGUAAUGCCAUUAGUCAUUGCUUAGAGACGUGGGCAGCCUGGGGAAAGCCUGACCGCCUCAAGACAGACAACGGACCUGCCUACACUGCAAAGUCUUUUCAGACAUUUUGCCAAACAACGCAGGUCAAACAUACUACAGGAUUGCCAUACAAUCCCCAAGGUCAAGGAAUUGUGGAAAGAGCACAUCGUACUUUAAAAGAGCUCUUACAAAAACAAAAAGGGGGAAUUGCCUAUGGCAGGACACCAAAAGAACAGUUGUCUUUAGCUCUCUUUACUCUAAAUUUUUUAAUUUUGGAUGCGCAUGGACGCUCUGCUGCAGAUCGCCAUGCAGCCACUAAACCCAUGACUUAUUCAGAUGUAAAGUGGAAGGAUGUCUUAACUGGUGAAUGGUGUGGCCCAGAUCCCGUAAUUUCGAGAUCUAGGGGAGCUGUUUGUGUCUUUCCACAGAAUCAAGACAAUCCAAUCUGGGUGCCUGAACGUUUGAUUCGCAAACUGCCUCCUGCUAUUCGUGAAGAUGAGACUACGAACCCUACUAUUAUUACUGGGAAUGGUAAUCCAGGUUGAUUCAUUCACGCUGUGGGCUAUCACCAGAUCCUGGCCAGUACUUAUGCCAGUUCAUAGCACUUCUACUGUUUUGCCAACCUUUUUCUCCACAUCCUGUUUGCGUGAUGUUCCUUGUAUAGUGCCUAGUAGAGAAUUGCCUCAACGAUAUACUGCCACUAAUCUUUCACUGUUACAUACUUUAUGUUUCACCCUUAAGAAUUCCUCCCAGCCUUGUAUAUGGCUGC